GUGGAAGCUAGAGGUCCAGGGUUGCUCAUCAUACUCUGUGAAGGUGUCUUGAGACCACCUGAGGAUGCUGUCCUGGCUUCUUGUCUUCUCUACCUUGGUUCUUCCAGCAUGGGGUGUUUCCUCUUGGGAAAACCCACAAACUAAUCAGGUGUCAGAAGGGUUGCAGCAACUGCUUGGCAACAUCUCCCAGCUCUUUGAGAAAGGCAUACUGGGCCGUGAUGAUGUCUUCAUCAUGGUUUCUCGUGAAGAAUGGGGGGCAGAAGCAAUUGGCUGCACCUCCAAACUGAGUAGGCCAGUGGAUGCCCUUGUUGUACACCAUAUCCCUGGACUAGAGUGCCACAACAAAACCAUCUGUAGCCAGAAGCUUCAAGAACUACAGGCCUAUCACAUCCGCAACAGCUGGUGUGAUGUGGCUUACAAUUUCCUAGUUGGGGAUGAUGGCAGAGUGUAUGAAGGUGUUGGUUGGAAUGUCCAAGGCUCUCAUGAUCAGAACUACAACAACAUCUCCUUAGGUGUUGCCUUCUUUGGCACCCAGGAAGGCCAUAGUCCCAGUCCUGUUGCUCUGUCAGCCAUGAAGGGCCUGAUUUCCCAUGCUGUGAAGAAAGGCCACUUGUCAUCCAAGUACAUCCAGCCACUUCUUGUGAAAAGUGAAGACUGCCUGGUCCCUCCACAGACGGGGAAACAGAAGAAAGCUUGUCCCCACAUAGUUCCACGGUCUGUUUGGGGGGCAAGAGACUCCCAGUGCUCCAAGAUGACUCUCCCUGCAAAGUAUGCCAUCAUCCUUCACACUGCUGGGAGAACAUGCAAUCAGCCUGAUGAGUGCCGCCUGCUGAUCCGAGAUCUCCAGUCCUACUUCAUGGACAGACUAAAUGCAUGUGACAUUGGGUAUAAUUUCCUCGUGGGCCAGGAUGGUGGUGUUUAUGAAGGGGUAGGCUGGAAUAACCAAGGCUCCAGGACUGAUGGCUACAAUGACAUUGCUUUGAGUAUCACCUUCAUGGGCACCUUCACAGUGUCCAUGUUUUGCACUUAUAGUCCCUUGAGUCUGAAUCAAGCUCUUCUCUCCUGGGUACCUGUCUGCUCAGCCAGAAUUCAGCCCUUGUUGAAAGGAAAAGGGGAUGGUAGUUGAGAAUGAGCUGACACCACAGCCCUCAGACAAGUGGAGCAGACCCAUCCCCACAGACCUGACAUUCCUUGAUGUCAGGGACACAAUCCAUACACCACUCCAGGCAAAGGAUGUAGAUGCUGAUUAACGCAGAGAUCCACAACUGGCCACAGCUCAGAGAAUGCCAAACUGUGUAAUGUUUUAUCCCACAGUGCUGUGGGUAGCACUUCCGUCACUAUGAAGCCAGCUGUUUAGGAGGAAGGUUUUUUGUUUUUUAUAUCCUACAAAUAAAAUGUGUUGUGUCUUCAG